UACGUAGGGGGCUAGCGUUGUCCGGAAUCAUUGGGCGUAAAGCGCGCGUAGGCGGCCCGGUAAGUCCGCUCUGAAAGUCCAGGGCUCAACCCUGGAAUGCGGGUGGAUACUGCCGGGCUAGAGUCCGGAAGAGGCGAGUGGAAUUCCUGGUGUAGCGGUGGAAUGCGUAGAUAUCGGGAGGAACACCAGUGGCGAAGGCGACUACCUGGCCCGUUCUUGACGCUGAGGCGCGAAAGCUAGGGGAGCAAACGGG
rnacentral:rRNA from 1 species